ensembl:lncRNA
CUCAAAGCAACUAGAAACAAUUUUACAAACAGAAGAAUGAGUUACAAGCUCGGAAGUUGGGGAGAGGGACAAAUGGCCUUGAGGCGAGAUGUCCCUGUUUUCAGCCCCUCCCCCUGAUGCUGAGGCCUCACUCUCUAGGAAAGGCAGAACGGUAACCAUUGUGUGUAGCUCCGGGUCUGGAAUAGCUAAGACCUGAAUGAACACGUUAGAGUUUGGAUUUAUAAGGACUAGAAUUUCCAAGAGAAAAUAAGCCCUAUGCUUUAAGGAGAACCAGUCUGUGGACACGGCAGGAAGCUGGAAUUUUCUAAACAAAAACCCUUAACCCUCACAGCCUGAAAGCAGUGAGCCAAGUCUGUUAGUCUGGGAGAAUGAGGAUGGGGUCUCAAAAAAGGGGUAGGAACUCGUUUAAACUGGCCACAGGCAACUGUGUUUGAUACUAGAUAUGCAGUUUCUGCAAAGAAUGUGUAUCCACACUAAAUAAGAGGAAAGCGUUUAAUUCAGGGGUUCUGGGUGUUUUCUACUGACAGAAUAUUUUCUUUAAUGACAGAACCCAGUGGUCUUGUACCCAGGAGCCUGAGACCAUUGGCCAAAACUGCUUGGAGCAAAUGCAAAUUUUCUUCUAUUAUGUGUUUUCAAAAUGUAUAAAAAUUGUGUCUUCACUUCCACUAAAAUUCCCAUUUGUUUAACGGAAAGCUCUAAGGCCAGCAGGUUCUUGGGGGCAAUAGGUGUGAGGCUUCUACUUGUGAAGGGAGGUCUGAAGCAGGUGAGUGAUCCAAAUCCAGGUGUUUCUGACCAGAUGUUGUGACUGAUUAAUAAUCUAGAAGGCUGACUUCAGCCAAGGUACAUGGGAACAGUGACAGCUGAUGGCUGAUGUGGGUUUCUGUUCCUGAGCCGAAAUUCUCGUCUGCCUCAGGCCUCAGCCAGGUCUAAUACACCUGCUGGCCUUGUCUGUGUAGUACCUUGGGAUCAAGAGAGAGGCCUGAGUCCACCCUUGUGGGAAAGCGGAUCAGGGGAACAUCCUGGAGAAGGAGUUCCAAGGUGGCCAGCGGUGACCAAAGGAGAGACAGCAAGCCAUCACCCGGCAAACAAGCUAAACACCACCUGGAAAACAAAAACUGUCCCCAGGACCCUGAGAAGUACUGAAGAGGGAGACAGAGCUACUGGAGCCAGAAAUGAACAGAGGACCUUCCCACAUGGCCAGUCCAUAGCUAUGAAUCCUUGAAGUAGCCCAGCAGGUCUAGCCCCUUGGGGACUCGAGUCCAGACCCACCUGAGCUGGGCACUCACUAAAGGGGCAUGACGAAUUUCGGAGUAAGGCUGACCCGAUUUCUAAUCCUGACUGCUCCUGGCGAGUUGUGUGGCCUUAGGAAAGUGACCGGCCCUCUCUAAGAUUCAGUUUCCUCGUCUCUGAAAUAAAGAUAUCAACCUUAUCUACCUCACGGGUCUGUCCUGAGGAUGAAAUGAGAAAACACACCAAAAUGCUGGAUACGGUGCUUGGCCCACAGUAAGUGCUCCACAGAAAUGAGCUGAUUCUAACAUCAGCAAAAAUGCUCCUUCCCGCAGACCCACGCAUCCCGGCAGAGCCCAGUCCUGCUGAGGGAAAGAGUCCAGAAGCCCGACCCAUGAAGCUUCCUGGUGACAAGGUCAACUCUUGGAUGCGGGGCUGAUAUUUCUCAAUGGCUCUGAUGCCGGUGAAGAUUAAAUGACUGAAGGACAGGGAGGGAAAGAAUGAAAAGACUCUUCUCUAGAACUGUGAGCCUUGAAUAUCUGUUUUAGCGCCACGACGAGAGGAAACUGGUGUUCGCUGAGCAACUAUUAUGUCCCAGGUGCUUCCCUUGCACUCUCUCUCCCAGGCUUCCCUGUGGUGACAAGGAGGACUGGAGUCUUCUAGGUGACCUGUGUUGGAGUCGCGGCCCUGAUACCCACUAGCUGGGGAACUGCACUGCACUGUAUGUAACGUUUCCUCGUGCAUAAAAUAAGGGUGAUUAUCAUGCUGGGAAGAAACCAUUUCUAUGAAGACCAUGGCACAUAGUAAGCAUCGGGUGGUGGCUAUAAUGGGAAACUUGCCCCAGGUCACACAGCUUGAAAGUGGCAGCACUGAGAUUGGGGCCAGGUCUCCUGCCCCCAAAGCCCACAUUCUUUCCACCACAUCACAUUUUAUCUCUGUGCAAAUACCGUGGUCUGUGGGAUACAAAAUACUUGAGAAAUACUCUCCUGGUCAUUCAAAUGGAGGAUUCUUCUGGGAUUUUUGUAUUAUGUCCAGAGUGUUCUAUAACCAUGAAAUUCAUCUCUCCAGUCACUUCUGAAAGUUUUCCUUCUUAUUCAGGAGCUUAGAAAGGAUGGAGACCCCGAAAUGCAGAAAGACUUAGCCCAGAUCAGAGCAGCCAGCCAGGAACAGAAGCCCCGAUGCCCUCCCCCGGAACUCUCCUGCCUCUUCUUGGAUGGCAGUUUUCCCUGGAAUUCCUGGACACACACAGGGGAAGCAAGUGCAGACAAGAAUGAAACCUCAUUUUAGAGCCUCGGGGAUGUUCCCUACACCCAGCUGAACUGUUUGGUUAACAGAUAAAGAAACUGAG